UUUAGUGUCUGUUGGCAUUCGGUUAAAUCGAAUCAGCCGACCGUUAUCACGUUAUCUAAUUAGAUUAGAAUUAAUCUCGUUUUUAAAUUGAAAAGCUAAUUAGAAAUAAAUUCUAACCAUAUUAGGAUAACAAUCUCUUACGUACCUAUUAGGAUUUUACAAUCACUUAUAAAUAUACGGGCAAUCUCACGUAAGAAAUACAACAAGAAAAUCAAGAAACAUAACAAGAAACCAAAUCCUCCAUUAACCUAUUAUUCUAGAGGAUUUUGAACGGUGGAUUGGAGAUCGUGUCGUUUGAACGGUGGAUUUUGAGGACGAUCCGAGGACACGUAAAUCAACCUCUACGAUCCGGACUUAUCGCGUUCUAACGCAAGUCGCUUCCGCAAAAAGAUACGAACGAAUACUUUCACUACGUUCUAUAGUGUCGUUCAUAAAUUGUAGGAAUAAAGAUAGGAGUUUACAAGAGUAAGUUUAGUAGUGUAAA
rnacentral:lncRNA from 1 species